UAUACUUGUCUGCAGCAGGGAAAGAGGAUGAUGCUAAAUAUGUUCUUAGCGAACAUCUAAAGUCUCAGAUCUAAAUUUGGUGACUGGGAAUAGAUUACACAACAGCUAGUGACUCCACACAAAGAACACAACAUUGACUCCUUUAUUGAAAACUGUGUUCUGGGGAGGCCUCACAACUGGCUUGAGUAAUGGCGUGUCGCAGAAGGGACUCUGAGGCUGGUGAUUAAAGGAAUGCAAGGAUGAUUGAAUGAGCCCGCCAUCUUCCUUCUGAGCCCAGCAGAGGCUCCAGAGUGCUCUCCACACUGCAGGACCUCUGGAUCACCUCGGGAUCACAGCUACUCUCUGAUGAAGUUGGUGGCGCUGUGGAGGAGGACCGCCGCCUCCUGGACGAGGACCGGGAGCGCUCAGCAUUGUAGGAGACAUGCUUGUCGUAGUUCUCCAUCUGUGUCUCAAUGAAGUCCCUUUGCUGCUGUCUGAUGGUCUGGCUGAUUAGCCCAGGGAGGGCAUGAAUGCUACCAAUCAAAGUCUCUAGUUUUGUUUCCAGGGUGACGAUCCUUUUCUCAAAGUCUUCACUCCUUUCAUUCAAGUCGGAAAUCAUGUCAUACAUGAUAUUCUGGGUCUGGAAAACAAGAAUGAGAAGAUAGAAACAGAGAAGGAAGAGGCUUAGUGACUUUUGCCUCAGAAGCGAACUGUCAACUCUUCAAGCUUCAGCACUGGCCUCUUGACAGGUGUGUCAGCUAACAGAAGAGUUUAGGUCACAAAGCAAAUUCCGUGUAUCUACAUCCCGAGUAUCUACAUCCCGCUUUAAUCCAUGUAUUUUUAAUGCUGAACUUUAAAUGCACGAUGACAGACUAGUUGUAAUUUACAAGACGGUGUAGUGGAAUGACCAGUGGUUUGAGGUAGAUUGAGGAUAGAUGGAAAUGUUUCAAUUUAAUAUUUAUGUGUGUUCAUGAUUCUUAUACAAGUUAGCAUAUCAAAUUCAUCUUUCAACAUGGCCAAUUUUUAUGGUAACAGAUUUAAAGGAGGAAAAAAUAACAUUAAGAUGACAGCGAGGUGCAAAAACAUAACAGAAGAGUAGAGGUUAAAUGUAGGAUCAAUGGACUUGAUCAGAUAACUUAGUAAUUUAAAGCAAUCAAUACACAUCUUCUGCUGCCUUAUGUUUCAAAUAUCAUAUCUCUUUUUAUUGACUCCAACCCAAAAUUUCAUAGAUUAGAUGUAAAAUAAUAUGAACCCUCAAUAAGAUCAAUAGUGGUGGUGGAUUCUAAGUUACUAGACCAGGGCUGGGGGUGAAACCCAGUGGUUAAGCAUUUGCCUAAUGGGCACUGAGCACUGGGUGUGUACUCUCUGCACCAUGCAAGUAAACAUUUACAGGCCACCUCAUUGGGAUGGUCUGAAGGACGCAUGUGCAAUGCUGUCUUUGUAGAGAAAAAUGAAGUUAUCUCCAUCAGAGGCAGUCAUGAGUCCGAGUCUUGGUUACAGUUCUUGAAAUAGUUACUUGAGGGGAUUCCAAGGCUCAGCAGCUCAGAGUAAGGGAUAGAAAGGGGUGGCUGAGGGGAUGGAGAGAUAUGCUCCACCCAGUCUACUGCCACCUUUUCCAAAUCCCAGACCCCUUGGGCCGCUCGUACUUCAUGUCUUUCCUGUUCUCUUUCAGCCUCACAGCUGUUUAAAGAUAAUAAAGGAACCCACAGAAGCAGCCAUUCAGAACCCAGGCAUUUUCUUUUGUUUGAGCCACAGACACAGGGAGCGCUAAUUUUAGCUUUACUACAUUCUUGGGAAAACUGAACAAUAUCUGGUCAUUAGAAAGAUACUGAACUCUUACGGCAUGCUUUCGCUCGUGGUCGGAGUAAAGAUGGCAGUACAUAAACAACUCAAAUAUAUUUUACCUUGAAUAUACCUUUGAUGUAUAUGAGUAAUAUAUGAGUAGCCCUGGGGAUGCCAAAUGUCGAAUUUUCACAGACUACAUACUUGAAGAUUUAGCAAAAAGAGAAUAUGAUUUAUUAAAUAUAAAACAGGGUGCAUAUGACUUAGUGUUGCCUCUGCCAAAGCAAUUGUGCUAAAAGGCAGAACACAUACAUACUUCUAUUCUAGAAUCUCCUUUGGAACUCGCUGAACAGGAUGUAAUGUUUACACAGUUGAUAAAUAUUCAUAUUUCCAGAGUGGCUGUUACUUAUGGUGGAACAAUAAAAAAAAACAGAUAAAUCUUGUAAAUGUGACAAAGAACUAGAAAACUAUUAAUGCACUUGUUAAAAAGAAGUAUGAUUGUUAAAUAAUGGAGAAUGCUAGAAAAAUGAGUGAGAGAAAGAGAGCGCACAGAUUUUAGCUUAGAAUAUAAUUUCUGGGAUUUUUAAACCAUUCGAUUUAUAUAGGUUUGGGCUUGCUUAAAAAUAUAUAAACUAGAAUAAGAUUU